CGGACGGGUGAGUAACGCGUGGAUAACCUGCCUCACACUGGGGGAUAACAGUUAGAAAUGACUGUUAAUACCGCAUAAGCGCACAGUACCGCAUGGUACAGUGUGAAAAACUCCGGUGGUGUGAGAUGGAUCCGCGUCUGAUUAGCCAGUUGGCGGGGUAACGGCCCACCAAAGCGACGAUCAGUAGCCGACCUGAGAGGGUGACCGGCCACAUUGGGACUGAGACACGGCCCAA
rnacentral:rRNA from 1 species